AUGGAGCGGCACAGAGUCGUUGCGGUGAGUGCCGGCGUCAACGUCAAGGGGCAUACCCUGCGGCUGGAGCGCGAAGACGACGGCGGCCACCUGCUUGCCUUCUCCUUUGACGCCGACGUGCCCCGGAGCAUAACAGUUUACUUCUUUGCACAAGAAGGUGACGACUGUGUCCUGAAGGGCACAAAGGAAAAUUUGCUCAAACUUUUAAGGAAGGUCAUGGUCAGGAGUUCAGGCAACCAAGUGGAACUGGAAUCAAGCUCGGGGACAAGGAGGAAAGUUUACCAAGUCUUGUUGUUUAGCUAG
rnacentral:rRNA from 1 species